AGCGAACGCUGGCGGCAAGCUUAACACAUGCAAGUCGAACGAUGUAGCAAUACAUAGUGGCGGACGGGUGCAUAACACGUGGGUAUCUGCCUUUAGGUACGGAAUAACUCAGGGAAACUUGAGCUAAUACCGUAUAAUAUCUCUGGAUCAAAGAUUUAUCGCCUAAAGAUGAGCCCGCGGCAGAUUAGCUAGUUGGUAGGGUAAUGGCCUACCAAGGCGACGAUCUGUAGCUGGUCUUAGAGGAUGAUCAGCCACACUGGGACUGAGACACGGCCCAGACUCCUACGGGAGGCAGCAGUGGGGAAUAUUGGACAAUGGGGGCAACCCUGAUCCAGCUGUGCCGCGUGAGUGAUGAAGGCCUUAGGGUUGUAAAGCUCUUUUAGAUGGGAAGAUAAUGACGGUACCAUCAGAAAAAGCCCCGGCUAACUUCGUGCCAGCAGCCGCGGUAA
rnacentral:rRNA from 1 species